UUCACUUCAUGUUUCAGGGAGAACAAGUGGUCAAGUACACUGCCAUGUUAGCUUGUGGCAACUAUCAUGGAGUUGUGGGCUUUGCAAAAGGAAAAGGCCCAGCAAUUCCCAUUGCCCUCCAAAAGGUAUUCAUGAACUUACUUCUUCAGAUGGUCUGAAUCCCCUUGUUGUUGAUGAUCGUGCUUUGGCAGCAGAUGCACUGCCUCUUGAGGGAGGAGGAUGGUGCAACAAUGUUACGACUUGCCUCUCAUGAAAAGAAAACCAUUUGGGUUCAUCCAAGAAGACUGGGUUUGAUGUCUACUUCUCCAUGGCUAGGGGGAAUGCCACUUUGCCUGCUAUGGAAAUGACCAAGUGCUUUGACAUCAGCUAGUAAGCCAUUGUUAUUAAGGUGUCUCUUGCUUGAUUUUAUACAUUAAGUAUCUGUUAUCAUAUUCAAUUCGUAAGAUGCUCCAAGUGUACAAGUAUGAGCUUGAGC